AUUUCUACCACUAGUCUGACAUCUAGAUGAUACUGGACUAUAACAAGGAGGCCUCCACUACGUCUAGAGGAAAGAAGGUUUCUCCACCAACAUAGAAGAGGAGUCUUUACUGUAAGAGCAGUGAGACUAUGGAGCUCUCUGCCAGAGGAAGGAGUCAUGGAGGAUUCUCUAGAAGAGUCCAGAAGGGUCUGGAGGGUAAUAAUAUUCCAGCUUCUAGUGACUAGAUUACUGGAGAUGGGACCAUGAUCCAGGGAGGGAUUCUGAUUGUAGAUCUGGAGUCAGGAAGGAAUUUCUUUCCCUAAGUGUCUCUCUCCAUCCACAGGAUUACACCAUAGUGAAGAAGACAUCGGGGGGGACUCCCAUCAUCCAUGAGUCAGGAGGGUGGAGCAGGACCCCCAUCACAGAGGGUUUUCCCCUGAUACAUGAGCAGAAGAUCCUAGAACUCACCCACAAGAUGAUGGAGCUGCUGACUGGAGAGGUUCCUGUAAGGUGUCAGGAUGUGGCGGUCUAUUUCUCCAUGGAGGAGUGGGAGUAUAUAGAAGAACAUCAGGAUCUGUACAAGGAGGCCAUGAUGGAGGCUCCCCGGCCUCUGACGUCACCAGAUGGAUCCAGGAGGAGAAAUCCCCCCGAGAGAUGUCCCCGUCCUCUGUAUUCCC